ensembl:snoRNA Gm23896 small nucleolar RNA SNORA17
UUUGUCCUUAGGAGCCUCGCUGUGUGGCUGCUGUAUUCCGUGACCAUCAUUAGGUGGCAGACAGCAGAGAGGUUAUGUCUAUGCUCAGCAUUGUAUCUAUGAACAUUUGCAUGAUUAGUAGGCCUAAUAUU